rnacentral:rRNA from 1 species
CCACCGCGGUUAUACGAGAGACCCAAGUUGAUAGACACCGGCGUAAAGAGUGGUUAAGAUUUAUCCAAAACUAAAGCCGAACGCCCUCAGAGCUGUUAUACGCACCCGAGGGUUAGAAGCCCAACCACGAAGGUGGCUUUAAACAAUCUGAACCCACGAAAGCUAUGACACAAACUGGGAUUAGAUACCCCACUAUGCCUAGCCAUAAACAUCGAUAGUAAACUACCCCUACUAUCCGCCCGGGGACUACGAGCAUCAGCUUAAAACCCAAAGGACUUGGCGGUGCUUUAGAUCCACCUAGAGGAGCCUGUUCUAGAACCGAUUACCCCCGUUCAACCUCACCUUUCCUUGUUUCUCCCGCCUAUAUACCACCGUCGUCAGCUUACCCUGUGAAGGGCUGAUAGUAAGCAAGAUUGGCAUAGCCCAAAACGUCAGGUCGAGGUGUAGCGUAUGGAAAGGGAAGAAAUGGGCUACAUUCCCUAACAUAGUGAAAUACGAACGAUGCACUGAAAUACGCAUCUGAAGGAGGAUUUAGCAGUAAGCAGAAAAUAGAGCGUUCUGCUGAAACCGGCCCUGAAGCGCGCACACACCGCCCGUCACUCUCCCCAAGCUUACUUAUUCUAAGUACCUAAGACCCUAAAACUGCAAAGGGGAGGCAAGUCGUAACAUGGUAAGUG